rnacentral:rRNA from 1 species
UACGGAAGGCAGCAGUGGGGAAUAUUGCACAAUGGGCGCAAGCCUGAUGCAGCCAUGCCGCGUGUAUGAAGAAGGCCUUCGGGUUGUAAAGUACUUUCAGUCGUGAGGAAGGUGUUAAGGUUAAUAACCUUAGCAAUUGACGUUAGCGACAGAAGAAGCACCGGCUAACUCCGUGCCAGCAGCCGCGGUAAUACGGAGGGUGCGAGCGUUAAAUCGGAAUUACUGGGCGUAAAGGGCACGCAGGCGGUUAAUUAAGUUGGAUGUGAAAUCCCCGGGCUUAACCUGGGAAUGGCAUUCAAGACUGGUUAGCUAGAGUCUUGUAGAGGGGGUAGAAUUCCAUGUGUAGCGGUGAAAUGCGUAGAGAUGUGGAGGAAUACCGGUGGCGAAGGCGGCCCCUGGACAAAGACUGACGCUCAUGUGCGAAAGCGUGGGGAGCAAACAGGGAUUAGAUACC